rnacentral:lncRNA from 1 species
CUCUUGCAAUGAACUCUUUUGCAAUUAACUUUGAAGGACAUGGGGCAGUCAGUCCACCUGCAAGCAAAGAUACAAAGUCUGAGACCCCUGAAAGAGAGAACGCCUUGCUCCAUUCACAUUCACAUCCCUGCCGCUUUUUGUUUGUUUGUUUGUUUGUUUUUGUUUUUGUUUUGAGACUGAGUCUUGCUCUGUCGUCCAGGCUGGAGUGCAGUGGCACAAUCUCGGCGCUUUUUUCUUUUUUUAGAGAUAGGGUUUUGCUCAGUUGCCCAGGCUGGAGUGCAGUGGUGUGAUUAGAGCUCACUGAAGCCUCAAACUCCUGGUCUCAAGCGAUCCUCCCGCUUCAGCCUCCCAAGUAACUAGGACUAAAGGCAGGCGCCACUAGCCCGGCUAAUUUUUUACAUUUCUGGUAGCGAUGGGUUCUCGCUGUAUUGCCCAGGCUGGUCUGGAACUGUUGAGCUCAAGCGAUCUGCCCGCCUUGGCCUGCCAAAGCGCUGGGACUGCAGGCGAGCGCCGCGGCCCCCGUUCCCCAUCGUAUUAUUAAUGGAUGCCAUUGUGCAGUGUUGUCCUGAAGAGAAAAAGCUUCGCGGACCACACGAAAUCGCGGGGUGAGUGUUCCCGCCUACCUCCAUGUCCUCCCGCGUCCAGCGGCUGCGGGCUUUCCCGAGAGCCUUCCCCAGGGCGCCUUUCUCGUCCUCUCAGCGUGGGGAUGAGGGAAUUCAGCGGCGGUUGCAGGCAGUUGAAGCGGGUGCGGCGCUAGUGCAGACGGCGUCACCGUGGAAAGGGCGGCAGCCGCGCGGGAAGGCCGGGCGCUGAGACCGCAUGCGCAGCAGUGCACUGCCCCCGAGGGGCCGAGGCCAAGUCGCGCGAGAGGCGCCAGGGCGGCUGGGGUGGCCGGGGAAAGCCAGGCGUUCCACCCUGCCGGCGUCCACGCGGAAAUGCGGUGAUGGCCGGCGUCCCACACACGAACUGGCAGAGGCAGCGGUGACUGCACCGCCCCAGGGAAACUUGGGACAUGGAGAAAGACACACACAGACACAGGGAAGACACCACGUAGAGAUAAAGGCAAUGGUGUGGCAGAGGCAUCUACAGGUCAAGGAAUGGCAAAAUGUGUCAGCAAGAUGACAUUCCACCAGAAGCCAAAGAGAAGCAUGAACAG